GCACUACCUCGUCUCGGUGCCUGGCUGCCGCCGCGCGUUUCGGAUGCUGGGGGCUGGGAGCCGCUCCAAGUGUGACCCGGUUUCGAGGCCUGGCUGCGCGCGCGCGCGCCAUGGAGGCCGGGUGCUGGGUGCUCGGCGGCGAAUUUGAGGACUCGGUGUUCGAGCAGAGGCCCGAGCGGCGGCCCGAGCCGCCCGCGCCCUACGGCGCCAAGCUGUGCGAGCCCCAGUGGUUUUAUGGAGAGACGGGAAGUAGUGAGGAUACUGAAGUUCUCACUCUCAAGAAAUUCAGAGGGGACCUGGCCUACCGACGACAGGAAUACGAGGCAACGGUCAUCUCUACACUGGAUCCCCAUCCUCCUUAUGCCUUCCCUUCUUCCUUUAAUAAUUGUCAGAAAGCGCUGCGGGAAUACUCCAGGAUCUCUGAACAGUUGCCGUCUACCAAUGUUGCCAUGAAAAGGGAUGUCCAAGAAGGCCAGGCCCGGUGUCUGGCUCAGCUGGGGAGACACAAGGAAGCACUGGAGAUUGCAGCAGACUUGGAAAAUAAAGCAACCAACACGGACCAUCUAACCACGGUGCUCUACCUCCACUUGGCUAUUUUUUCAAGUUUUCAGAACUUGGAGAAGACAAUUCUGUGCUUGCAAAAACUGAUUUCCCUUCAUCCUCUGAACCCUUGGAGCUGGUGGAAAUUGGCAGAGGCAUACCUGAGUCCAGGGCCAGGCCUACUGGCAUUGUGUACGUCAUCUCGGGGACAGACGAGUGUCACCUCAAGUAACCAAGCUAUCAGUUCCUCGGGUGUGUGCUCUGGAACAGGCCGCCUUCUGUGUUUCCCAGCAGCCUUGCCUGAGAGUGCAGUGCUUUCCCUGGAGGCAAGUGGUUGUAACAUCCAGAAGGCUGAGGAGGCUCCACAGAAGAUGCAGAACUGUCUGGCAGAAUGGAGAGAAGCUGCAGGGCUGGAGGCUCGGAUGAAGGCAUGUGCCUCUCUGGUUCGCGCCAGGCUUCUGCUUCAGCUCACCCAGUCUCAGCAAACCUCAUUCGCUUUGGAGAGGAACUUGAGGACUCAGCAGGAAGUUGCGGAGAGAGUGAAGGAGCUCAACUUCCCUGACGGUGCUGUGCUAUUGAUGGAGGAGGCUAUGGGGGAAGACAUUGUCCCAGAGAAAAUCAAAGAUGAAGUGCAUUCAGAGGUGAAGUGUCUUGGCCCCGCAGCCCUGACCGCCUUGGUGAUCGCAUCCUCCGAAGAAUUUGAAGACAAGUGGUUCAGAAGGAUCAAAGACCACUUCUGUUCCUUGGAAAAUCAGUUCCACGUGGAGCUACAGAUCACAGCUUAGAGAAGCACGUCGGGACCCGAACGUCUUGCGCUGUGUUGUCCUGGUUUACUUUAGGCAGAGCAGAAGCCCCGGACCAUCUCUUUUGUUUGCCCUUCAUAGUGGAUCCCAGCUUCCCCACUGCCGCCUUCCUAGAGUGCCAGUCUCUGGAAAAGACCACCUGAGGUACAGUGGGGUUGAAGCCAGCCCCUGCAGAGUCAGGCCACCAGUGUCAAAGAUGUUUCCAACAUCUGUGCAGUAUGACAUUUUUAUAAAAGCUGUGCUUCGCUUUGGGGAAACUGUGGGGUCAUCACAGCUGCAGCAAAUGAAUACAAGCUCGUAUUUCCAGAAAGAUGGCUUUAAAUGGGAGCCUUCUCCAAAAAUUUAAUCUAUGAAAGGUUUCUAUUUACCCCCAGCAGCUUUCCAGGGCCUCGGGGGUUGAUGGGAAGCAAGGAAACCAGCUGAGAAACAAAGGAGGACACAAAACCUCAGCAAACUCCGCCGCUGCGGGGCUGCGCACUCCUCAAAUCAGGGCCAGCCUUGCACGAAUGUGGUUGCUCUCUCCCUUCCUGCUUCUGUCUUCUGGCUAAAUCAGACCUGGGUUAGAGUUUUGGACCCAGCAAAGCUAAUAGGAAUGUCCUGAGUGAGCCGACAGACAGUCCAGUGAAUGGCACCUCAGUUCCAUCGUCCCAUAUUGUGGUCACUUGGAGACUUCUGCAGGAGCUGGGGACCCAGGUUGGAGGGAGGAUGAGUGAAUUGGAGGAAUGGGGUGGGUAGAAGAUACUCAUGUAUUUCCUUUAUUUUUUCUUCCUCCUUGGUACUGGGAGACUUCAUCUUCUGAAGCUUUGGUGGUAUUGGAGCUGCCCCUCUUCCUUCCGGGAGAGCUGGCCUCUCCUGAAGUGUUGGCAUCUGGUCCAGAGACUCAAACUAUUAGAGGAGUCAGAGAGAGUUGUCUGACUCCAUCUGGGCCAGAGUCUUGACUGAGGAUUUGGAAACAAAAUACUCUUCUGAACCAACCAACCUCAAACGAUGGGAGCUGGCACUGUGCUCUUCAAAGCAAAAAGCAAGAAGAGUAGGUCUGCGGAGAGAAAAACACAGAGAUGCCCCCAAAGCACAGAGAUCUCUCUGGACUCUAGGGCCUUUCUCGUGCCUCCAUGGAAACCCCAAGGAGCAGCAGGGAGAAGAACGUCCCCCACCCCCACCCGUGGUAUCCAUGUUCUGAUACCCAGGACCUACAAAUACAUUAGGUUAUGUGGCAAAGGGGAGGGAGGGCUGCCAGUCAGCUGAAGUCGGGAAGUUUGUCUGGAAGGAUCUGGGCAGACCCAAGGAAAUCACCAGCGUCUUUAAAACUGCAAGGUGGAGGCACGUGGAAUGUGCUGAAUCCAGAGAGAUGCUGUAUGUUGUCUACCUUCCAAGAUGGGGUCAGAGGUUACCAGCCAAGAACUUGAGAUGCCAUGUGACCAGCUGCCUCAUGCUUCCACUGUCAGGCUGUCCCCAUUAGGAUGGACUGUGCUCUCAAACUACACUCUCGAGGAGGAAGCCGAGAAAGUGACUGACAGUUUCUCCAUGCCCAACAACGUCUUGGACCACGGCCAGAAAGCAUUUGAAGAAGCUGCCUUGGCACUUGGGCGACAGGCCAGCAGGGCAAGCUGUGAAGCCAUGCGAAGGGGACAUCAUGGAAGAGGAGGCAGAAAGAAUGUAAGAGCCAGAGGAUAGGGUGGAGUGUUGUGGAAUGCUGUCUUGCGGACAUGGCAUGACCAGUUUCACCCUCAAACUCACCGUAGCUGU